UCCCCGUUCGUCUAAUGGUAGGACUGCAGUUUCUGGUACUGCGUAUCGUGGUUCGAAUCCAUGACGGGGAGCC
rnacentral:tRNA from 1 species